ACUCAACACGAAUUCUUUAAAAAGGGUGAGUUGAAGCUGUUAAAGCGGGCCGUACUCGAUACUAAUCGAGAUGACGGAUUCUUGACCAGCUUGUUAGCCCUAAACUUUAUUUUUAAGGAGUUU
rnacentral:sRNA from 1 species